UUGCAAUUUUCUGUUUGUUUUCGAAACAUCUGCCGAAGCUCUAACUUUUGCACCUACUGCUCCCAACAAUUUUUGCCAUCUUUACCAGGUCACAUGUUCCUUGCGAUGUGGACAGGUUCAAUGAAGGUUGGAAGUUUGAAAGCAUGUUUGAACAUUAUAGAAGUAUAGACUGGAUUCAAAGGGACGAGAUUUUAUAUACAGUAGCAAUAUUUUAAUAUG